rnacentral:rRNA from 1 species
CAGCACCUCAAGUGGUCAGGAUGAUUAUUGGGCCUAAAGCAUCCGUAGCCGGCGCUGUAAGUUUUCGGUUAAAUCUGUACGCUCAACGUACAGGCUGCCGGGAAUACUGCAGCGCUAGGGAGUGGGAGAGGUAGACGGUACUCGGUAGGAAGGGGUAAAAUCCUUUGAUCUAUUGAUGACCACCUGUGGCGAAGGCGGUCUACCAGAACACGUCCGACGGUGAGGGACGAAGGCCAGGGGAGCAAACCGGAUUAGAGACCCGAGUAGUCC